UACUUGAGGACACUAUAGUGUGCUCAAUCACACGCCUGUGUCAUUUGUUUGGCUGACGGUGUUAUUAAAAUGGAUGAAGUAUGUGGAUAGUGAUGACAAGGAAACUACAUAUUGAUAGAAAUUCUAACUUUCAAAAUGUAUCAUGGUCGCCAUGUAGGAGCCGGUGGGAAGCCGCCUAAGCCAGGUGGUUAUGGUGGCUAUGGAGGUGGAGGCUACAACCCCUAUGGAGGCUUCUACCCUGGAGUGGGAGCAGGAGGGCAGAAGCCUGGUGCUGGAGGUGGUGGUGGUUUACCAGGAGGAGGCGCUGUCCCUAAUGGAGGUGAGUUUAAAGUAUUAGCCAGGACUUCUACUUUAACUUAUAUCUUAUUACUUCAGAUCUACAUGAAGGCAUAUAACACAAACAUACAUUAGGUGUUUUUCUAUCCCUGCUCUGGCA
rnacentral:lncRNA from 1 species